rnacentral:lncRNA from 1 species
CUGGGAUUCAAGGAGGGAACUUAACCCAGACUCCACACCAUUGAAUUAUGCAACUGUGAGUUAAGUUUCACCUAUAGACUCCACCUCAUGUGCCUCCCAGAUCAGAGGUGGACUCGUGAAGGCACUGUGACCCGGAGCGGGUCUCUCUCCCUUUCUGGACCUCUGUUUCCCCAUUUCUAUCAAGGAGGUUCAGAUUCUAGCUAACUGAUUGCCAAGGCAGUGGUUCUGAUGGCCCAGGAUCCUGUAAGUCUUAUGUUGGUCCCAGGGCUUGGCCCGCUCAGCACCUAACAAGGCCAUUAGCUCUGGGUCUUUCUCUCUGGGGUGGCAGCAGGAAUAGAAAACAACAGAGAUAAGGUCUCCUAGCAGCACAGUCUCAGCUCAGGGCUCUGGGGAUGGGCCUCCCCUCCUGCCGGAGAGGCCAUCCCAGGAGGCUGACUGCUCACACCUGGGCAGCAUUCCUGGCUUCAUCCCCUCCUGUCUGAGUCUUGGCUCUAUUCACUCUCCCCAGAUGCUCCACCAGAAUGAAGGGAAGGCCCUGGAAGGCCUUGAACCCUGCCACCUCCGCCCCUCCUGGGAUAAGGUUCCAACACCCCACGGAUGGGCCCAGGGCCCCCCUGCAACUUCUCCACCGCCGCCCACCGGUGCAACGUGGGUGGCCUACCGGCUGCAGUGAUCAUCAUCCCAACCCUGCUCUCCUCGUCGUCUCUCCUGAUCAUCAGCUUCAUCUUAUGGAAAACUUGCCGCCGGUUGUCCCGGGUCACCCAGCCCCGCCUGCCAUCCACAUGAGGGGCCCAGGUAAGCCACUUAAGCACCUUCAGCCCGGGGGGGGGGGGGGGCGGGGAGGUUCUAGAUCAGUUUUAUUCUUUGUCUCUCAUAAGAGAAGAAAUUCUCCUUAUUGUCUUGCGGCAACAAGGGAUGAUGUACUGAGUUGGAUAAAGCCUCACAGAGGCCACAGCCACAUGUGUGGCCUCACAGUCUCCUGUACCUCUGUCCAGGUGCUGCUGGAUGUAAUCAUCAACUCCGCAGGUCAAGGAAGCCCAUUCAGCAGCCCCCGUAACUGUGGCUCUGGGUGA